rnacentral:rRNA from 1 species
AGUGAACGCUGGCGGUAGGCCUAACACAUGCAAGUCGAACGGCAGCACAGUAAGAGCUUGCUCUUACGGGUGGCGAGUGGCGGACGGGUGAGGAAUACAUCGGAAUCUACUUUUUCGUGGGGGAUAACGUAGGGAAACUUACGCUAAUACCGCAUACGACCUACGGGUGAAAGCAGGGGAUCUUCGUACCUUGCGCGAUUGAAUGAGCCGAUGUCGGAUUAGCUAGUUGGCGGGGUAAAGGCCCACCAAGGCGACGAUCCGUAGCUGGUCUGAGAGGAUGAGCAGCCAAACUGGAACUGAGACACGGUCCAGACUCCUAAGGGAGGCAGCAGUGGGGAAUAUUGGACAAUGGGCGCAAGCCGGAUCCAGCCAUACCGCGUGGGUGAAGAAGGCCUUCGGGUUGUAAAGCCCUCUUGUUGGGAAAGAAAAGCAGCAGGUUAAUAACCCGCUGUUCUGACGGUACCCAAAGAAUAAGCACCGGCUAACUUCGUG